AGAGUUUGAUCAUGGCUCAGAACGAACGCUGGCGGCGUGCCUAACACAUGCAAGUCGAACGCCCUUGAGUGAUCAAGGGAGUGGCGGACGGGUGAGGAACACGUGGGUUAUCUACCUUGAGGUGAGGAAUACCGGCGAGAAAUCGCCGACAAUACCGCAUAGGUUUCGUAAGAAACAAAGUCGCAAGACGCCCCAAGAUG
rnacentral:rRNA from 1 species